CUUGUUUUUAAAAGACCUAGCAAUAGGUAUGCUUAGGGAGGAGCUUGCGUCACAUUAGUUAGUUGGUGGGGUAAAGGCCUACCAAGACUAUGAUGUGUAGCUGGGCUGAGAGGUUGAACGGCCACAUUGGGACUGAGACACGGCCCAAACUCCUACGGGAGGCAGCAGUAGGGAAUUUUCGGCAAUGGAGGAAACUCUGACCGAGCAACGCCGCGUGAACGAUGAAGUAUUUCGGUACGUAAAGUUCUUUUAUUAGGGAAGAAUAAAUGAUGGAAAAAUCAUUCUGACGGUACCUAAUGAAUAAGCCCCGGCUAACUAUGUGCCAGCAGCCGCGGUAAUACAUAGGGGGCAAGCGUUAUCCGGAAUUAUUGGGCGUAAAGGGUGCGUAGGCGGUUAAAUAAGUUUAUGGUCUAAGUGCAAUGCUCAACAUUGUGAUGCUAUAAAAACUGUUUAGCUAGAGUAAGAUAGAGGCAAGUGGAAUUCCAUGUGUAGUGGUAAAAUGCGUAAAUAUAUGGAGGAACACCAGUAGCGAAGGCGGCUUGCUGGGUCUUUACUGACGCUGAGGCACGAAAGCGUGGGGAGCAAACAGGAUUAGAUACCCUGGUAGUCCACGCCGUAAACGAUGAGUACUAAACGUUGGGUAAAACCAGUGUUGAAGUUAACACAUUAAGUACUCCGCCUGAGUAGUACGUACGCAAGUAUGAAACUUAAAGGAAUUGACGGGACUCCGCACAAGCGGUGGAUCAUGUUGUUUAAUUCGAAGGUACCCGAAAAACCUCACCAGGUCUUGACAUGCUUCUGCAAAGCUGUAGAAACACAGUGGAGGUUAUCAGUUGCACAGGUGGUGCAUGGUUGUCGUCAGCUCGUGUCGUGAGAUGUUGGGUUAAGUCCCGCAACGAGCGCAACCCUUAUUGUUAGUUACCAGCACGUAAUGGUGGGGACUUUAGCAAGACUGCCAGUGAUAAAUUGGAGGAAGGUGGGGACGACGUCAAAUCAUCAUGCCCCUUAUGACCUGGGCUACAAACGUGAUACAAUGGCUGUUACAAAGGGUAGCUGAAGCGCAAGUUUUUGGCGAAUCUCAAAAAAACAGUCUCAGUUCGGA
rnacentral:rRNA from 1 species